rnacentral:miRNA from 1 species
ACCUUCCGGUUUCUUCAAGUCUCC